CCUACGGGGGGCAGCAGUGAGGAAUAUUCGUCAAUGGACGAGAGUCUGAACCAGCCAAGUAGCGUGAAGGAUGACUGCCCUAUGGGUUGUAAACUUCUUUUAUAUGGGAAUAAAAUGUUCCACGUGUGGGUUUUUGUAUGUACCAUAUGAAUAAGGAUCGUCUAACUCCGUGCCUGCAGCCGCGGUAAUACGGAGGAUGCGAGCGUUAGCCGGAUUUAUUGGGUUUAAAGGGUGCGCAGGCGGAGGUGCAAGUCAGCGGUCAAAUUGCGGGGCUCAACCCCGUACUGCCGUUGAAACUGCAUCCCUUGAGUGCGCGAGAAGUAUGCGGAAUGCGUGGUGUAGCGGUGAAAUGCAUAGAUAUCACGCAGAACUCCGAUUGCGAAGGCAGCAUACCGGCGCCCGACUGACGCUGAGGCACGAAAGCGUGGGGAUCGAACAGGAUUAGAUACCCGAGUAGUC
rnacentral:rRNA from 1 species